rnacentral:rRNA from 1 species
UACAGAGGUCUCAAGCGUUGUUCGGAUUCAUUGGGCGUAAAGGGUGCGUAGGUGGCGCCGUAAGUCAGGUGUGAAAUCUCGGGGCUUAACUCCGAAACUGCAUUUGAUACCGCGGUGCUUGAGGACUGGAGAGGAGACUGGAAUUUACGGUGUAGCGGUGAAAUGCGUAGAUAUCGUAAGGAAGACCAGUGGCGAAGGCGGGUCUCUGGACAGUUCCUGACACUGAGGCACGAAGGCCAGGGGAGCAAACGGG